CUGUUCCCUGACAGCCGAUGUCAGACCCUGCCACUAGCCUCCUUAACAGAAGUUCCCAGCCAUGAAGCCUCUCCUUGUUGUGUUUGUCUUUCUUUUCCUUUGGGAUCCAGUGCUGGCAGGUAUAAAUUCAUUAUCAUCAGAAAUGCACAAGAAAUGCUAUAAAAAUGGCAUCUGCAGACUUGAAUGCUAUGAGAGUGAAAUGUUAGUUGCCUACUGUAUGUUUCAGCUGGAGUGCUGUGUCAAAGGAAAUCCUGCACCCUGACAUAAGAAACCAAUGAAUGGCCACUAUCCUGUAGGCCCUUGAUUCUGCCAUCUUUCACAAAACCAGGGAAUUUAGAUCAAACUGUGACACCAUGAUGUGUCCAUGACUACUGGUUUUUAGCAUUUUUAUAGGCCAGCAGACUCUUGUGGUCUUAAAUUUAAAGAGCUGAGCUGUAGCCUUCUUUAAAAGAGCUCGGUUUUUCACAAAAACAAUGUAGAAGAUAUUUUCUCACCUCAACGUGAUGUCCAGUGUGCUCAUCAGCACCUGUUUCUCCCUCUAAUCAUAGAGGAUAUUCUUAUUAUUUAGAAAGGCUUCAAGGGAAACAACUUUUGACACCUAAGUCGUGUCCUACCUUCGCUUCAGCUUCGCAUUUCCCAUUUCUGUGAAAUUCCCAACUUUAGAGAAGCAGAUUUGCCAUGGCCUUCUGACAACCUUGUACAUCUCUCACAUAAACCGCAUAGGCAGGGCUUAACUACAGGCUGGCCCGAGUCUGCACUGAGUCUGACCCUGAAGUUCCUUUGGAACAGGAGAGGCCAUCUUGUGAUGGGCUGGAACAAGGUAAUUUCUCAUCCACCUCCCUAGUUUCAGUUGAGCAAUGGAACUUCCCACCUGAGCCCCUAGGGUUCAGCUACAGGCUAUAAGACUGCCGUCCUGUGGUUUAGUGUUGGUUCCUUAGCAGCAGAGUGAUGCCACCUCUGCUGCCCGUCAUCUGACUCCUCUGGAUGGGUGUUAUCCUGUGGCUUAAGAGCUAACACCAUGCUGAUCUUGCUUUGCUAUAUGUGUAACUAAUAAACUGCCUAAAUGCA
rnacentral:lncRNA from 1 species